rnacentral:rRNA from 1 species
UUCCUACGGGAGGCAGCAGUGGGGGAUAUUGCACAAUGGGGGGAACCCUGAUGCAGCGACGCCGCGUGGGCGAUGGAGCGCCUCGGCGCGUAAAGCCCUAUCAGCAGGGAAGAAGAUGACGGUACCUGACUAAGAAGCCCCGGCUAACUACGUGCCAGCAGCCGCGGUAAUACGUAGGGGGCAAGCGUUAUCCGGAUUUACUGGGUGUAAAGGGGGCGCAGACGGCGAUGCAAGCCAGGAGUGAAAGCCCGGGGCCCAACCCCGGGACUGCUCUUGGAACUGCGUGGCUGGAGUGCAGGAGGGGG